rnacentral:rRNA from 1 species
UACGGGGGGGGCAAGCGUUGUUCGGAAUUACUGGGCGUAAAGGGCCUGUAGGUGGCUUGCCAAGUCAGACGUGAAAUCCCUCAGCUUAACUGGGGAACUGCGUCUGAGACUGGCGAGCUUGAGGGCAGGAGAGGAACGCGGAAUUCCAGGUGUAGCGGUGAAAUGCGUAGAUAUCUGGAGGAACACCGGUGGCGAAGGCGGCGUUCUGGACUGCAUCUGACACUGAAAGACGAAAGCCAGGGGAGCAAACGGG